UACAGAGGGUGCAAGCGUUUGUUCGGAAUUAUUGGGCGUAAAGCGCGUGUAGGCGGCUUUGCAAGUCGGGUGUGAAAGCCCUCAGCUCAACUGAGGAAGUGCGCCCGAAACUGCAGAGCUUGAGUGCCGGAGAGGGUGGCGGAAUUCCCCAAGUAGAGGUGAAAUUCGUAGAUAUGGGGAGGAACACCGGUGGCGAAGGCGGCCAC
rnacentral:rRNA from 1 species